UUUAAAUAUUUACUCGCCAAUGUGUAAUAAUCAUUUACAAAUUACAAAUUACAAAUUACAAAAGUAUCAGUGUUAACUUAUACAUGAAUCUCUGCAGUAAAUAUAAUAAUAUUAUUCCUUUCUCGUUCUGUAAACCUAACCUUAUAUGUCAACCUUAUGCCAAUUUACCAAUAUAUGUUUUCAAAUCAGUUAACUUUGAUUGACGACGUGUAUAUAUAUAAAUUGCCUACAUCAAAUUAAUUUUGAAACUAUUUAUACUUUACACCCGUUUUCAAAAUUACGCGACCAAGGACGAAAAUGCUAGAGUUGACAUGUCAGUUUUAUGUCAUUCGGUCACGAAGUUUAAACUUCGAGUUUGCGGUUCCUUGUCGAUGUAUAUGCUUUAUAUGCUUUAUAUAAAGAUGCUUACAAUGAUUUUCAAGAUAUUUUAGUGAGAAUUAUUGCAAAAUUUAAGCAUAAACAAAAUCAUAACAUAUCGUUAUAGUCUAGCGCGCGUGUUUUAUACGGACAGCUAAAUUCCAGGAUAAAUUGUUAUUUUUCAAACUUUAAAAGUUAUUCACGGCACAUAUUUCUGUUGUAAUUGUUUGUAUAGUGCUUUAGUUUGUAUAUCUAAGUUAUCUAGCUCAUUUUUGUUCCGUUUUGGUAUUAAAUACGAUUUAAAAUGUCUUUUGCCAGUUUGUUUACGUUUGCUAUUUCUAGCAGUUUUUGUGACAUAAAACUGACAUUUGAAGUAAGAGUAUUUUUCAGGGAGGUCGCGUAAUUUUGAAAUGGGUGUAAUUGACUAUAAAAUCAUACUUCUUCUCAAUAUUGUUAUUUUUUGUUUUCGGAAAGUCUUUUGUCUUGAGUAAGUUUGUAGUUUAAUUAGGGACCGGUCGUUAUUUGUGGCGGGGAUGGCACCGUAGGGAAAUGUUUUUCUUGAUAAAUCAAAUCCUUGGUUCAUUAAUCUGGUCCACACAUGGACGCCGGAGGAUGUCUUUAGGGAGCAGUCAUUGAUUAAGUUUGUGUCAUGGAGGGCCGGAGGCUAUUGGAAGUUGGGGUAUAAAUAUAAAUGUUAAUAUGUCUAGAAUAAAGCAGCGUCUAUAUUAUAAGGAGGGGUAUGGAAUUUGUUUCCUAUUAUUUGAGAGGGUGCCAAGUAAUUUCUUGAAUCGAUGGGAUCGCCGGUCCAUUACCGCCGGUCCAUUACGGGGAAAUAGUGGACCGCAGAUAGUGCUUCUCAGCCAAUCACAGUCCGCCAUUUCACCGGAACUGACGCUUGCCAUAUAAUAAACAUAAUUAAUGACCGCUCCCUCGAAGUAACGAAAAUCCAAUCCUUCUUCUUUUUCCCUCCCGGCGCUCCUUUGUUUCACUAGUAGUAUAUCAUAUUUUUCAACUGUCGUGAACUUAACAAAAGUAUCUUCAAAUCAUUUCAUACAAAAUCUAUACAAACUCCUAUAACGUUUUCUUCUAAAUGUUGGCCUUAUUUUGACUUGCUCAAGUAGACCACGAUAAGUUAAAUUUAUCUUCAUAUUGUUUGAUUUACAAUU